UACGGAGGGAGCUAGCGUUGUUCGGAAUUACUGGGCGUAAAGCGCACGUAGGCGGCUUUGUAAGUUAGAGGUGAAAGCCUGGAGCUCAACUCCAGAAUUGCCUUUGAUACUGCAUGGCUUGAAUCCAGGAGAGGUGAGUGGAAUUCCGAGUGUAGAGGUGAAAUUCGUAGAUAUUCGGAAGAACACCAGUGGCGAAGGCGGCUCACUGGACUGGUAUUGACGCUGAGGUGCGAAAGCGUGGGGGAGCAAACAGG
rnacentral:rRNA from 1 species